CCUACGGGAGGCAGCAGUGGGGAAUAUUGGACAAUGGCGCAAGCCUGAUCCAGCCAUACCGCGUGUGUGAAGAAGGCCUUCGGGUUGUAAAGCACUUUAAGUAAGGAAGAAAAGAGUAUUGUUAAUACCAAUACUCCGUGACAUUACUUACAGAAUAAGGACCGGCUAAUUCCGUGCCAGCAGCCGCGGUAAUACGGAAGGUCCAAGCGUUAAUCGGAAUUACUGGGCGUAAAGCGCGCGUAGGUGGUUUAUUAAGUUGGGUGUGAAAGCCCCGGGCUCAACCUGGGAACUGCAUCCAAAACUGAUUCACUAGAGUACGAAAGAGGAAAGUAGAAUUCACAGUGUAGCGGUGGAAUGCGUAGAUAUUGUGAAGAAUACCGAUGGCGAAGGCAGCUUUCUGGUUCUGUACUGACACUGAGGUGCGAAAGCGUGGGUAGCGAACAGGAUUAGAUACCCUGGUAGUCCACGCCGUAAACGAUGACAACUAGCUGUUGGGAAGCUAUGCUUUUCAGUGGCGCAGCUAACGCCUUAAGUUGUCCGCCUGGGGAGUACGGCCGCAAGGUUAAAACUCAAAUGAAUUGACGG
rnacentral:rRNA from 1 species